GACGAACGCUGGCGGCGUGCUUAACACAUGCAAGUCGAACGGAAAGGCCCCCUUGUGGGGUACUCGAGUGGCGAACGGGUGAGUAACACGUGAGUAACCUACCCUUGACUUUGGGAUAACCUCAGGAAACUGGGGCUAAUACCGGAUAGGAGCUCCUGCUGCAUGGUGGGGGUUGGAAAGUUUCGGCGGUUGGGGAUGGACUCGCGGCUUAUCAGCUUGUUGGUGGGGUAGUGGCUCACCAAGGCUUUGACGGGUAGCCGGCCUGAGAGGGUGACCGGCCACAUUGGGACUGAGAUACGGCCCAGACUCCUACGGGAGGCAGCAGUGGGGAAUAUUGCACAAUGGGCGGAAGCCUGAUGCAGCAACGCCGCGUGCGGGAUGACGGCCUUCGGGUUGUAAACCGCUUUCGCCUGUGACGAAGCGUGAGUGACGGUAAUGGGUAAAGAAGCACCGGCUAACUACGUG
rnacentral:rRNA from 1 species